rnacentral:rRNA from 1 species
GGAUUAGAUACCCUGGUAGUCCACGCCGUAAACGAUGGUCACUAGUUGUUGGGGCUUUAUGCUUCAGUGAUUAAGAGAAAUUGAUAAGUGACCCACCUGGGGAGUACGAUCGCAAGAUUGAAACUCAAAGGAAUUGACGGGGGCCCGCACAAGCGGUGGAGCAUGUGGUUUAAUUCGAUGAUACGCGAGGAACCUUACCAGGGCUUAAAUGUAAGUUGCAUAGACCAGAGAUGGUCUUUUCUUCGGACUACUUACAAGGUGCUGCAUGGUUGUCGUCAGCUCGUGCCG